rnacentral:rRNA from 1 species
GACGAACGCUGGCGGCGUGCCUAAUACAUGCAAGUUGAGCGAUGAAGAUUGGUGCUUGCACCAAUUUGAAGAGCAGCGAACGGGUGAGUAACGCGUGGGGAAUCUGCCUUUGAGCGGGGAACAACAUUUGGAAAGGAAUGCUAAUACCGCAUACCAACUUUAAACAUAAGUUUAAAUUUUAAAAAAUGCAAUUGCAUCACUCAAAAAUAAUCCCGCGUUGUAUUAGCUAGUUGGUGAGGUAAAGGCUCACCAAGGCGAUGAUACAUAGCCGACCUGAGAGGGUGAUCGGCCACAUUGGGACUGAGACACGGCCCAAACUCCUACGGGAGGCAGCAGUAGGGAAUCUUCGGCAAUGGACGAAAGUCUGACCGAGCAACGCCGCGUGAGUGAAGAAGGUUUUCGGAUCGUAAAACUCUGUUGGUAGAGAAGAACGUUGGUGAGAGUGGAAAGCUCAUCAAGUGACGGUAACUACCCAGAAAGGGACGGCUAACUACGUG